AGCUCCAAUAGCGUAUACUAAUGUUGUUGCAGUUAAAAAGCUCGUAGUCGGAUUUCAGUUUGAUUUAGGAUCUUCUACCCGGAGGCCCUUGAUCAUUCUUCCUUGACAUAAACAGCCAUGUCCUUCAUUGGAUGUAGUUUGGGAGUGUCUCUUUUACUUUGAGAAAAUUAGAGUGUUCAAAGCAGGUAAUCGCCUGAAUAUUACUCUUGGAAUAAUACUAUAGGACUUUGGUUCUGCAUUGUUGGUGUUCAGAGCCAGAGUAAUGAUUGAUAGGGACGGUUGGGGUCAUUAGUACUGCGAAGCGAGAGGUGAAAUUCUUGGACCUUUGUAUGACUAACAACUGCGAAAGCAUUUGACUAGGACGUUCCCG
rnacentral:rRNA from 1 species